rnacentral:tRNA from 1 species
UUUUAGCUAAAAUAAUUGAUUUCGAAUCAACAUAACGACAAAGC